rnacentral:tRNA from 1 species
GCCUUCGUGGUGUAAUGGUAAGCACGCUCGGCGUGUAUUCGAGAGGUCUGAGGUUCGAGUCCUGGCGAGGGCA